rnacentral:tRNA from 1 species
UUAGAUGAAGCCAAAAAGAGGCAUAUUAUUGUUAAUAAUAUAAUUGGAGUUUAUCCCAACUAAA